rnacentral:rRNA from 1 species
UAGAGUUUGAUCAUGGCUCAGAUUGAACGCUGGCGGCAGGCUUAACACAUGCAAGUCGAGCGGAAACGAUGGAAAGCUUGCUUUUCAGGCGUCGAGCGGCGGACGGGUGAGUAAUGCUUGGGAAUAUGCCUUAUGGUGGGGGACAACAGUUGGAAACGACUGCUAAUACCGCAUAACGUCUACGGACCAAAGGGGGGGAUCUUCGGACCUCUCGCCAUUUGAUUGGCCCAAGUGAGAUUAGCUAGUUGGUGAGGUAAAGGCUCACCAAGGCGACGAUCUCUAGCUGGUUUGAGAGGAUGAUCAGCCACACUGGGACUGAGACACGGCCCAGACUCCUACGGGAGGCAGCAGUGGGGAAUAUUGCACAAUGGGGGGAACCCUGAUGCAGCCAUGCCGCGUGUAUGAAGAAGGCCUUCGGGUUGUAAAGCACUUUCAGUUGUGAGGAAAGGUGUGUAGUUAAUAGCUGCAUACUGUGACGUUAACAACAGAAGAAGCACCGGCUAACUUCGUGCCAGCAGCCGCGGUAAUACGAGGGGUGCAAGCGUUAAUCGGAAUUACUGGGCGUAAAGCGUACGUAGGCGGUUUGUUAAGCAAGAUGUGAAAGCCCAGGGCUCAACCUUGGAACUGCAUUUUGAACUGGCAAACUAGAGUACUGUAGAGGGGGGUAGAAUUUCA